CUCGACGGCAAGAGUAGAGGGGCAACUCGAGAGUAGAGGCGCAACACGAGAGUAGAGGCGCAACCGCUGUCUUUCCCUAGCUAUCUCCCGUUCUGACACUUCCUUGAGCUUCCCUCCUUAUAUAUCAAAGGCUUUCAAUAUGGAAGAGGCUGCAAAGACUGCAAAAGAAUCCCUGGACCUGGCAUUUCACAUUUCAAACAUUCUUGAUACUGGUCUUGAUCGGCAUACUCUGUCAAUUCUCAUUGCACUUUGUGACAUGGGUUUGAACCCUGAGGCAUUAGCCGCUGUUGUUAAGGAACUCCAGACAGAGCCCUGUCCCUUGCCCCCAACACCAACUGUACCAUCACCAGUUCCUUAAACAGGUUUGUGGUUCUUCCUUGUUGUUUUUUAGAAUGAUAUAGGAGGCUUUAAGGUGGUUUUGACUUCUAUUCUCUUAUGUCUUGUUUCUAAGUAAGGAAGGUUAAACUGUUAAAGGAAAAUGGGGUUGAUAAAUGUUUCAUUUUUAGUCUAUGAUAUGCU